UUCUUUGUGAGACACACAAAGCGUUCUCAUGGAGGAGGGGCAUGUGCACGGAGGAGCCCUUGAACACCUGGACCUGGGGCACCUGGGAGGUGGGAGGAUGGGAGGAACCCAGCAGCCGAGGACAGGUGGCAGACAAGCUGGGUCAUGCUGUGCGCCCGUCCAAACGGAUCCGCCUGGCAUGUGGGUGGUGUGGCCCAACUGGUUGGCGAGGAUGUGCUGGGCACAAGGUCACUUGAGUCAGGCUUCCUGAGAGCAUCUCACCUCCUGGUGGAGGGAAAGGAAGUAUUCCGGGGCUGGAAAUGAAAUGGAGACUGGGUCAAGAUAAAUGCAUGAAGAGGCCACUAAGGAGAGAAAGCUUG
rnacentral:lncRNA from 1 species